rnacentral:rRNA from 1 species
AAGGCCUUCGGGUUGUAAAGUACUUUCAGCAGUGAGGAAGGUGGGUAUGUUAAUAGCAUAUUCAUUUGACGUUUAGCUGCAGAAGAAGCACCGGCUAACUCCGUGCCAGCAGCCGCGGUAAUACGGAGGGUGCGAGCGUUAAUCGGAAUUACUGGGCGUAAAGCGCAUGCAGGUGGUUUGUUAAGUCAGAUGUGAAAGCCCGGGGCUCAACCUCGGAAUUGCAUUUGAAACUGGCAAACUAGAGUACUGUAGAGGGGGUAGAAUUUCAGGUGUAGCGGUGAAAUGCGUAGAGAUCUGAAGGAAUACCGGUGGCGAAGGCGGCCCCCUGGACAGAUACUGACACUCAGAUGCGAAAGCGUGGGGAGCAAACAGGAUUAGAUACCCUGGUAG